GACGAACGCUGGCGGCGUGCUUAACACAUGCAAGUCGAACGGUGAAGCGCCUUCCUUUUUGGUGGGUGUGGAUGAGUGGCGAACGGGUGAGUAACACGUUAGUAACCUGCCCCCUUCUUCUGGAUAACCGCAUGAAAGUUUGGCUAAUACGGGAGAUUCUGGGUCUGUCGCAUGAUGGGUCUGGGCAAGAUAUUGUUUCGGUGGGGGAGGGGCUCGCGGCCUAUCAGCUUGUUGGUGGGGUGAUGGCCUACCAAGGCGGUGAGGGGUGGCCGGCCUGAGAGGGUGGGCGGUCCCAGUGGGGAUGAGACGCGGAGCAGACUACUACAGGAGGCAGCAGGGAAGAAUAGUGCACAGUGGGCGGUAGGCUGAAGCCGCGACGCGGCGUGGGAGAUGGAGGCCUUCGGGUUGAGAACCUCUUUCGGCAGUGAAGCAGGCCUGCCUCGUUUGUGGGUGGGUUGACGGUAGCUGGAUAAGAAGCGCCGGCUAACUACGUG
rnacentral:rRNA from 1 species